rnacentral:misc_RNA from 1 species
UACGGCGGGUGCAAGCGUUGUCCGGAAUCAUUGGGUGUAACGGGGGCGCAGGCUGGCGCCUAAGUCGCAGGUGAAAUCUUGCCGCUUAACGGUAACAUUGCCCCCGAUACUGGGUGUCUUGAAUCUGACAGAGGUCGGUGGAAUACGUGGUGUAGCGGUGAAAUGCAUAGAUAUCACGAAGAACAUCAGUGGCGAAGGCGGCCGGCUGGGUCAGUAUUGACGCUGAGGCACGAGAGCGUGGGGAGCGAACAGG